rnacentral:rRNA from 1 species
CAGUCGCCGCGGGAAUACAUAGGGUGCAAGCGUUAAUCGGAAUUACUGGGCGUAAAGCGCGCGUAGGUGGUUUGUUAAGUUGGAUGUGAAAGCCCCGGGCUCAACCUGGGAACUGCAUCCAAAACUGGCAAGCUAGAGUACGGUAGAGGGUGGUGGAAUUUCCUGUGUAGCGGUGAAAUGCGUAGAUAUAGGAAGGAACACCAGUGGCGAAGGCGACCACCUGGACUGAUACUGACACUGAGGUGCGAAAGCGUGGGGAGCAAACAGGAUUAGAUACCCCUGUAGUCCCUGUCUCUUAUAC